rnacentral:lncRNA from 1 species
CUCGGACUAGUUUAUAUUCGUAGCAAAUUGUCACGUGAUUUGACUGAUUGCAGUAUUUUCUGUGAUGUGUUUAGUAGACUCUUUUUUCUUAUGUGUGUUUUUGUUUUUUUGCUUUUUUUUAAAUGAAGUGUUUGCUUUUCAAAUACAAAAGCUAAUUUUUAGUGGGCUUUUUUUAUAAAGAUUUUUAAGGGGUGCAGAAGGAUGGUGUUAACAGUUCAAAAUUAAUUACUGCUAUUUUUUUUUAUUAUUUCUUUUUUUUUAACAUUUUAUCUUUAAAAAAAAAAUGAGUGUAACCGGUCAUAUGCCUGAUUCAUGACAUCAAUGAAUAAAUUAUGUGAGAGUUAAAGGUUAAUAAAACGAGGGUAUAUGUUACUAUAUAUGCAACUCGUCUUAACAUCUAUCCAACAAUGUUAGAUCUGUAAAUUUGCUUUAGCAUUUUUUUUUUGUUCUUCCCUCACCGGGAUUCGAACCCAUACUACUGAGAUAUCGUGACACCAAAUCGCCUGCACUAUCGCCUGCACUACAGCCGUCCCGCUAGACCACACGACCACCUGGGUUUCAUAAAAAUUAAGCUUUCGGUGGCCGGGUGCUAACUUUCCACGACAGUUUUACUGAUCUAGUGUCGUACUACAGUACAUGAUAUAUAAGGCAUGGAGAUGUUAUUUUUACAGAUCAGCUAAAUAUAUAUAUAUAUAUAUAUAUAUAUAUAUAUAUAUAUAUAUAACUCGUCUAAACAUCAACCCAACAAUGUUAGAUCUGAAAAUUUGCUUUCGCAAAUUUUUUGUUCUUCCCUCGCCGGGAUUCGAACCCAUGCUACUGUGAUAUCGUGACACCAAAUCGCCUGAACUGCAGCCGUCCCGCUAGACCAUACGACCACCUGGG